rnacentral:rRNA from 1 species
GUUGUUUGGAUAAUUCCCGCAACGAGCGCAACCCUUGAUCUUAGUUGCCAUCAUUAAGUUGGGCACUCUAAGGUGACUGCCGGUGACAAACCGGAGGAAGGUGGGGAUGACGUCAAAUCAUCAUGCCCCUUAUGACCUGGGCUACACACGUGCUACAAUGGACGGUACAAAGAGCUGCAAGACCGCGAGGUGGAGCUAAUCUCAUAAAACCGUUCUCAGUUCGGAUUGUAGGCUGCAACUCGCCUACAUGAAGCUGGAAUCGCUAGUAAUCGCGGAUCAGCAUGCCGCGGUGAAUACGUUCCCGGGCCUUGUACACACCGCCCGUCACACCACGAGAGUUUGUAACACCCGAAGUCGGUGGGGUAACCUUUGGAGCCAGCCGCCUGUAGAUGUGACG